rnacentral:rRNA from 1 species
GGGUGGGGCUGCCUUAACAUGCAGUCGAACGGUAACAGGGAGCUUGCUCCGCUGACGAGUGGCGAACGGGUGAGUAAUACAUCGGAACGUGCCCAGUAAUGGGGGAUAGCUCGGCGAAAGCCGGAUUAAUACCGCAUACGCCCUGAGGGGGAAAGUGGGGGACCGCAAGGCCUCACGUUAUUGGAGCGGCCGAUGGCUGAUUAGCUAGUUGGUAGGGUAAAGGCCUACCAAGGCGACGAUCAGUAGCUGGUCUGAGAGGACGAUCAGCCACACUGGGACUGAGACACGGCCCAGACUCCUACGGGAGGCAGCAGUGGGGAAUUUUGGACAAUGGGGGAAACCCUGAUCCAGCAAUGCCGCGUGUGCGAAGAAGGCCUUCGGGUUGUAAAGCACUUUUGUCAGGGAAGAAAUCCUUUGGGCUAAUACCCUAGGGGGAUGACGGUACCUGAAGAAUAAGCACCGGCUAACUACGUGCCAGCAGCCGCGGUAAUACGUAGGGUGCAAGCGUUAAUCGGAAUUACUGGGCGUAAAGCGUGCGCAGGCGGUUGUGUAAGACAGGUGUGAAAUCCCCGGGCUUAACCUGGGAAUUGCAUUUGUGACUGCACGACUA